UGCCAGCCGCCGCGGUAAUACAGAGGGUGCAAACGUUGUUCGGAAUCACUGGGCAUAAAGCGCGCGUAGGCGGCAAGGCUAGUGCAGAGUGAAAGCCCACGGCUCACCCGUGGAACUGCUUUGCAUACUGCCUUGCUAGAGUACGGUAGGGGAGAGCGGAACUCUUGGAGGAGCGGUGAAAUGCGUAGAUAUCAAGAGGAACACCAAAGGCGAAGGCAGCUCUCUGGUCCGUCACUGACGCUGAGGCGCGAAAGCCAGGGUAGCGAACGGGAUUAGAUA
rnacentral:rRNA from 1 species